rnacentral:rRNA from 1 species
AUUGAACGCUGGCGGCAGGCCUAACACAUGCAAGUCGAGCGGAUGAAGGGAGCUUGCUCCUGGAUUCAGCGGCGGACGGGUGAGUAAUGCCUAGGAAUCUGCCUGGUAGUGGGGGAUAACGUCCGGAAACGGGCGCUAAUACCGCAUACGUCCUGAGGGAGAAAGUGGGGGAUCUUCGGACCUCACGCUAUCAGAUGAGCCUAGGUCGGAUUAGCUAGUUGGUGGGGUAAAGGCCUACCAAGGCGACGAUCCGUAACUGGUCUGAGAGGAUGAUCAGUCACACUGGAACUGAGACACGGUCCAGACUCCUACGGGAGGCAGCAGUGGGGAAUAUUGGACAAGGGGCGAAAGCCUGAUCCAGCCAUGCCGCGUGUGUGAAGAAGGUCUUCGGAUGGUAAAGCACUUUAAGUUGGGAGGAAGGGCAGUAAGUUAAUACCUUGCUGUUUUGACGUUACCAACAGAAUAAGCACCGGCUAACUUCGU